GGAAAAGGAAGUCCCAACAGUAACUGAG
rnacentral:sRNA from 1 species